AUAAUGACUCUCGGCAACGGAUAUCUCGGCUCUUGCAUCGAUGAAGAACGUAGCGAAAUGCGAUACUUGGUGUGAAUUGCAGAAUCCCGUGAACCAUCGAGUCUUUGAACGCAAGUUGCGCCUGAGGCCACUAGGUCGAGGGCACGUCUGCCUGGGCGUCAMAC
rnacentral:rRNA from 1 species